rnacentral:lncRNA from 1 species
AUUUGUAAAAUUGGGAUGAUGAGGACAUCUUCCUUGGGUAGCUGUGACAAUGAAAAUGGGAUCAUCAUGCAUCAGCCUUAGCCCCACGAGUGCCACAGUAAACUCUCAAAGAAUGAAGUGGGGUUUAGACCCUAAAUGCUUCAGUGUGAGCUGUGAAGCCCCACAGCUUGGCUGGAUCAAUCUGGACUUCGGGCAGAUGCGCACUAAGGGCUGCUUACCUAGAGGAGCCACGUUUCUCCUGGGCAGUCAAGAUAACUGCCAGAGGAGCCACAUGCUGGGUAAAUCCUGAACCCAAAGUGGAAUUUUGCCCUAGUAUAAUGGGUUCAUAUUCGAUUGGCUGCACUUAGCUAUAAAUCCUGAGGAGGAGAAGAAGAAAGACAUCAGAAAGUAAUUGGACUAGAAGAACCUUAGUUUGGAAGCAAAACACAGAAUCCAGAAACUAUGAAGAAAUUUACAUGCACACAUAUGUAUACAAGCCAUGAGAGGGAAAUGGGAAUGUACCUGAGAGUGUCGUCAAAGCGUACAGUGGCUGCACAGUGAAAUAUUAUGUUUGUACAGGAGAGAAGCUCCUGCAUGUCCUCUUUGCUGAUGGCAAAGUCAUUCUGAUUGAGAUCUGCAUAAAUAGCUCUGAUCUUCUCAUGCACAUUUGGACAAACUUCUUUGACUUUCUCAAAUAGCUGAAACAUAAAUAUAGAUCAAUAUACAAAAAAUAGCACCAUCAUUAUCACAUUGUUCUUGUUUAUAACAACCUGCUUAAUUAUACUCAAAAACUGGUUUUAGUUGUAAUAACAUUACUUAAAGAAGACAUCUGGCUGGGCAUGGUGGCAUAUGCCUGUAAUCUCAGCACUUUGGGAAGCCAAAGCAGGGAGAUCACUUGAGCCCAGGAGUUCGACACCAGCCUGCGCAACAUGGGUUCUGUGGACUCUUUCACUUUGGCCUGUGAAGACUUCUGACUACUGGAAAGCAAGAAGUAGGAGAUGGUUUCAGCAUCCACCCUUCUCACGAUGGGGUUCCUUACAUAUGAUAAUCUGAUGCCUACCAGAAGAAACUCUGACCCAGACAGGAUCAUUGCAUAAGAGGUUGGUUUUAGAAGUAGAGUUGGCUGAAAUUAAAGUCUCGAGUGACAUGAAGACAGUGUUAAAGAUAAAUCCAAACUCUUCUUUAUUGCUUGACACUUUUCCAAUCAGCAUUGACUUCAUUCCUGGCAAGCUGAUGUAACAUGAAUGAGUUAUGAAGCCAAAGAUCGCAAGAAGAGCACACUUCUUAACAGCCACUUCAGAGGUGACAGCCAGGGAAUAAGAAAUAAGGAAGAACUUUCCAGAGGAUGGAGCCACCACAAAUAAUAAUGGAAAAGAAGGUUCCUCCCAGAGAUUAGAUUUAGAGGCUAUUUAAGGAAUUUCCCCACUCCCAGUGUAGGAAGCUUCUCAAUACUCGCUAAUCAGGAUUUCCUUAUGGUUAUAUUCUAGGGACUGCUGCUUGCCUGCCUGUCUUCUCUUUUUUGAAUAGAAGGUGUCUUUGUUUGUUUGAUUUUAUUUUUUCUUCAACUUCGCUGUUCUACAAUGACAAGAGAUAGAACAGAGACAUUUUCUACCUCAACAUUGGGAGGCAGAAAAUUCACCUUUUUAUCCAAGAAUACCAAACCAGAAGCUGAAAUAUCUGGAUCUGAUAGAGAGGAUAGUCUAUUCCCCCUUGGACUUUGGACUGGAUGCAAUAAUGGUAUGAGACCCUGGGGUAGGAAUGAGUGUCUUCUAUGUGUGGGAAAGAGAGGAAAGCAGAUAUUUGGCGACCUAAAAAGAAGGCCAUGGCAGAACCUCAUUAGUUGUUCAACAAUCCUAUUUUCCUUUUCUCCUGGACACACAGCUAUGCAUUUUCCAGCCAUCCUUGUGGUUAGAUGCCCAGUGACAGUUCUGAGAAUGGAAUAUGGACAGAUGUGAUAGGCACUUCUGGGCCUGGGCCACAAAAACCUUCCACAUGAUGUCCAGUGCCUCUUUUACCCCACUGACAGUUUUUUAUUGUCAUCCAGAGAGACCUUGGAUGGUUUAGAAGCCAUGUGUAGAAGAUGGCAACCUUCCCUUAGCAUGGAUCCUUGAAUGACUGUGGAGUGCAAUGCCUUCUACCAAUUACACCUACUGUGUUUGAGAAUCAAAUUUCAUUUGUAUUAAGCUACUGAUUUGGGGGGUUUAUCUCCUUCAGCACCCACAUUAGUACAACUCAUGCAGAAUGGAGAGUUAAUGUGAACACAUAUGGCACAGACUGGUGAAACCUAGGACUUUAAGAUGAUAGAUGAAUUUCUGAUUAUACUUUCCUUUCCCGCAAAAAGUUUUUUUCAAAUUAAAUGUUGUAAUAUAAAUGUGAAUUCUUAAAUAUCUUUCUAAUGAAAUGAUGACUAACUAUAGAAAAGAGAAUGCAGGAAUAUAUACAUCCUUGAUAAGAGUGUGAAACUGUUACAGGCAAUCUAGAGGGUCUUGCCUAGGGAUAACGAACAAAAUAACAUACCUGGGUAAAAGAAAUGAGAGGUUACUGAUAAAAAACUAACAUUUAGCCGGGAGUAGUGGCUCAUGCCUGUAAUCCCAAUACUUUGGGAGGCCGAGGCAGGCAGAUCGCCUGAGGUCAGGAGUUUGAGACAAGCCUGGCCAACAUGGUGAAACCCCAUCUCUAUCAGAAAUACAAAAAUUAGCUAGGCAUGGUGGCGGGUGCCUGUAAUCCCAGCUACUUGGGAGGCUGAGGCAGGAGAAUCACUUGAACCCGGGUGGUGGAGGUUGCAGUGAGCAGAGAUUGUGCCACUCCACUCCAGCCUGGGUGACAGAGCUAGACUUCAUCUCAAAAAAAAAAAAAAUUAUAUUGCACAAUAUAAAACAUUAUUUUAUACUUAGGAUCACAUUUGAUCUUUGCAAAUCCAUAUGAAAUAGCUAUUAUUAUCAGAUACAGUUUAUGAAUAAUAAAAACAAGACUCAUAUGGGUUAGGUAACUAGGCCAUGGUCUCUCUACCAAGCUCUAUCUCUCUGAUUGAGGAGAGAGUAUCUAGAGCAUCAGUGUUCUUUUUACUGCCUUAUGCUACCUCCCAGUACAGGUAUAACAACUAAACCUACAAGUAACCUGCAAUUGAGGGUUUAGACUUUUAGCAUCUUUAACCAUCCAAAACAUAGCUGUGGGACCAAAAAGCAAAAAACAGUUUACAAAAGCCCAUAUUUAUUGCACCAAGAAAAAGCCAUGUCUGUGAAAUAUUGCUUAGAAUUUGUGUACUAAACUCAGCAUAAUGAAUUAACAAACUCAGUGACCUCAUUUUCUCCUAGAUUACAAUAAAUGGAAGACUUAAAAUGAUGAGAAAAAUAAACACAGAAAACCUCAAUUAACAGGGUAGAGGAUGACCUAUUGAAAGAUUGGGCAUUCAUGUGUGGGAGGUAAAGGCAAGUCCUGUGAGUGGUAGGCAGUCCGAGGCAAGUGUUCUCUCUUUUUGUUGUUUGAUUCUAAAUUUAUGACAACUGAAGAAAGGGCCUUGGCCUGGUCUGGAUCAACUUGGUAUGGAGCCCAUGAGAAAUGAAAGAUGAUUCAUAAACAUACCUAAUUCAUCCCAGGCAACAGCAGAAAUGACCAUGAAAAAUGAGCCAUCUGAGAAUUCUCAACGAUUCUUGGAGAAUGUCAUUAAUUACAUUUUUAUUACAGGGCAGGGAUGCCCAAGCUGACAUAUGGGUUACAAAGGCAAAGUAGAAUUUCCCUCUAUGGGUUUUGUUAAUGUAAAAUAUAAAUUAAUAAGCUUUUUGCUUUUACUAAUAUGAAACAUACCCAUCAAUUAGUUGUCUUCAAUUCAGAAAGAACUAAACUAGAGUUCGAUAGUAUCUUAAAUCCAAAAAAUAAAAAUAAAAACCCAACCAGCAGCCAUUUGCUGAAUUCCUGAGUGCUUAGGAGUCUCCAUUUCUAGUCUAGCAAAUGUCUUCCAGUUGCAAUUUUAAACAUUUUUCCCAGAUCUUUCAAGAAACCUGUAAUAGUAUCAAGUCCAGCACACAAAGCUAGCUUUCUGUAAGCAAUCAGUCUCAUCUACCCACCUUUACUUUAUACAGCCUCCUAAAUUCAACCUUAGAAUAAAAAGUACUUUUUUGUUGUUAAAAGUCUGUUCUCUAGCCAGGUGUGGUGGCUCAUGCCUGUAGUCCCAGCACUUUGGGAGGCUGAGACCAGAAGAUUGCUUGAAACCAGGAGUUUGAGAUCAGCCUGUACAAUGUAGUGAGACCACCAUGUCUUAAAAAAAAAAAAAUUAAAAACAAUAGCUGGGCAUGGUGUCACAUAUUUGUGGUCCCAGCUACUUGGGAGGCUGAGGUGGGUGGAUCACGUGAGCCCGGGAGGUUGAGGCUGCAGUGAACAAUGAUCAUGCAGUGCCCUCCAGCCUUAGUGAUAAGAGUGAGACCAUGUCUCAGAAAUUUAAAAAAAGUCUAUCCUCUGCCUCUAAGGGACUUUGUUGUUAUAAAACUACUGAAAAUUUGUAUAAAUAUAUCUUAUUAAAUAUAAACAUAUUUUAUUAAAACUAUUGAAAAUAUAUAUAAACCAGGUGUGGUGGCUCACACUUGUAAUCCUAGCACUUUGGGAGACUGAGGCAGGAGGACUGUUUGAGGCCACAAGUUCAAGACCAGCCUAAGCAACAUAGUGAGAUCCCAUCUGUACAAAAAUUUGAAAAUUAGCCAGCUUUGGCAGUGUGUGCCUGUAUUCCCAGCAACUCAGGAGGUUGAGGCAAGAGAAUCCUUUGAACCCAGGAGUUUAAGGUUACAGUGAGCUGAUUGUGAACUGUACUCCAACCUGGGCAACAGAGUGAGACCCUAUCUCAAAAAAAAAAAAAAAAAAAAGAAAGAAAAUAUGUACAAAUGAAUGUUUUAAAUUGAAACAAUUACUAUAGCACCAAAAUGCUCAUUCGAUGAGAUGGAAAUUUCUUCUUAAAUGUCUAUUUCUCAUUUUGCAGCAAAGGCAUGAUUAUACUUCUAUAAAUUUUUGCCUUACAUAGUCAGAUAGAAGCAUGCAAAGUAGGCAGAGCCUAGGCAUCUACCUGAAAGAAAUGCCCUCCUGCAUUUUCUUGAACAUAUUAACUCUUCCUGAGCUCCAGUGGCACUAUCUCUGGAGUCCUUUUCCGGCAGAUAAUUUUAAAGCAGGCGUCACUUGUUAUUUUCUCUCUCAAAUUGCCGUGUUCUUUGUCUUCACAGUACUUUUGAAAAUACUUAAAUAUACAUGUGUUUCUUAUGAAACUCGUUUGCCUCACUGGACUUUAAGAUCUGUGAGGCCAAUUCCAUGCCUGUUUUAUUUUCUACUUUAUUGCCCCUGUUCCCCAGGCACAAAGCAAUAAGUGCCUGACAUACAUUUGGCUCUCAAUAAAUACUUGUCAUAUUUGUGUGCUUGUUCA